UUAAACAUGCAUGGUGGCAUGAACCUGUAAUCCCACCUACUCAGGAGGCUGAGGCAGGAAAAUUGCUUGAACCCAGGAGGCAUACGUUGCAGUGAGUGGAGUUCCUGACACUGCACUGUGUCACCAGGGUCACUGGGUGAGACUCUGUCCCAAAAAA